CUUUUUCUUGUUGUAUUUAGUGCACAGGAAGGGUCUAAUCUGGGGAUGAACUGUUCAUUAAAGACCAUCAGUGAGUGUAACAGCUUGAUUUGUUGCAGAAAUUGGAAGUUGUACAGCCAUCAAAGCAGGAGAUUAAAGGAAGAGGAGGACAAAAUUGUUUUCUUGAUUAAGAGCUGCAUCCUUCCAGAGGCCUGUGACACAACUACCAUUCCUCAGACUGUGUGGUGCAAGACUUCAUUUAAAAAAAGAACUGGAUACACAUGCUGAAUUUCAUUUGUGAAAGGUGGAGUAAGGUAAGAUAAUUUUAGUGAUUACUACUAUAAUGGGUGAUAAUUUGUUGACACUGAGGGCAAGGGUUCAAGGAUUCAUCAUAAAUUAGGUGCAGAGAAAUCUAAAGGAACUUCAGCCUUGGAAAUAAUGAAACACUGGCAAGGUUUGAUGUUCUGGUAUCAGUGGCAUGCUUUUACCCUACAGUUUGUGUUGUUGGUAGUUCAUUAUAUUGACCAGGGGUUUUACUUACUUGACUGCCCACAGAAGUGA
rnacentral:lncRNA from 12 species